rnacentral:rRNA from 1 species
CUAGGGGAGGCAGCAGUGGGGAAUAUUGCACAAUGGGCGCAAGCCUGAUGCAGCCAUGCCGCGUGUAUGAAGAAGGCCUUCGGGUUGUAAAGUACUUUCAGCGGGGAGGAAGGUGUUGUGGUUAAUAACCACAGCAAUUGACGUUACCCGCAGAAGAAGCACCGGCUAACUCCGUGCCAGCAGCCGCGGUAAU